rnacentral:lncRNA from 1 species
GCUGUUGUUUACAGUGAAGUUUUCCUCACUGGAUGGGACUUCGUCCCUAUUUAUUUUGCAUUGAUAUGGACUGCUCACUACAACAUUAGCUGCUGCAUGCUUCAUAAUGAGACUGGACUGUUCAUGGGUAAGGAGAUAAUGUGUGCUGGGAGUUGAAAGCUGUACUACUGAUGGCAGGGGAAGAUUUUUGGUCACGCUGCACCGUACAGCUUAAUAGAUUCCUGAUAUUUUUGGAGGCUGAUUUUACCAUCAAAGAAUUCACCCAAGAUGAAGAAAGAAGAAAUAGGUAUGUGCUACGGAAGGAGCCAAGUGAUUCUGCUUUCUCCAGUCAUUUUGAGGGAAGAUUAGCCCUCAGCUAGCAUCUGCUGGAAAUCCUCUUUUCACUGAGGAAGACUGGCCCUGAGCUAACAUCCAUGCCCAUCUUCCUCUACUUUAUACGUGGGACACCUACCACAGCAUGGUUUGCCACGCAGUGCCAUAUCCCCACCCAGGAUCUGAACUGGUGAACCCCGGGGCGCCGAAGCAGAAUGUGCUCACUUAACCGCUGUGCCACUGGGCCGACCUGUCAAUUUCUUAUCUAUCUAUUUGGUUCCAUUGGCCAACCUUUCGCCUGUGCUACUUUCUCCUGAUUACUGCAGCUUUAGAGUGGCUGUGAAAAUCAAGUCAUAAGGGUCCUCCAACAUCUUCUCCUUGUAAAAAAUUAUUUUGGCUAUGCAAGUUCCAUUGCCUUUGCACAUUAAUUUAAAAGUGCUAGUAAUCUUUGAUGUUCCAUAACUAGUAGAAGCAUCACCCUGAUCUCUGCCUUUAUCUUUACAUGUGUUCUCCCUGUGUGCAUGUCAGUGACCAAAUUUCCCUUUUUGAUAUACAAACCAGUCAUACGGGAUUAGAAGUCCACCCUACUCCAGAAUGACUUCAUUUUAACUUAUUACAUCUGCAAUGAUCCUGUUUCUAAUGAGAGUCACAUUCUGAAGUACUGGGAGUUAGGACUUCAACAAAUAAAUUUGGCGUUGGGGGCACAGUUUAACCCAUAACACUCUUCUUCCAGGAAUCAAGUUACAUGUAUGUUAAGCUAUGUGAUGUGAUCUAACAUGUACCUGAAUUAAAAUUUUUUUCUAAGUGACAACUUUGACGUAUUUUCAAGGUCACUGCUUCUUCUCUCAUCACCCUUCCCCUAGACGCUAGUCAUUUUUUUAAAAUUUCAGAUAUUGCAUGUUUUCAUAUCUUUAAUUUUCAUAGGUUACCUUUUAUUGUUUCUAUCC